GGCUUAGAGUUUAGUUAGGAUUUGAUUUAGGAUUAAGAUUUGAUUAGGAUUCGAUUUAGUAUUUAGAGUUUGGUUUAAGAUUGGGAUUCGGUUUAGGAUUUAGGAUUUUAUUAGGAUUUGUUUAGGGUUUAAGAUUUAAUUAGUUUUGGCCUAAAUUUUGAAUGAAGUUCAAUAGGAUUUUAACUAGGAUUAAAUUAAGAUUGAAUUGACAUGUAUUUGAAAUAUAUUUGUGAUAAUUGUAAUAUUUCUUUGAAAUUUCUUUGAGGUUUCUUUGAAUUUGAUUAAAGCUUGCUUAGUAUUAUUAUGGUGUAAUUGAAGUUUAGUUAGUAUUCUAUUAGAGCUAGAAUUUUGUUGUUGUAAUUUCCAUUCU
rnacentral:lncRNA from 1 species